UUUUCUUUUAUUUUUCAUUAAAAUGUAUAGCCGCCCCUCUGCUAGAAAAUGUUUGUAAGAAACCGAUAAGGCCCACCAGAGCACCAAUUAAAUCAAAUAAUUAAUAAAAGCUGAUUUGUUUUUAAAGAUCGAUAUUGCCACGUGGCUAAUAUGAACGCGUGGAGAACGAUCCAGAAAGGAGACAUAGAGAGAGAGAACGGUGUGCGUCGGCAAACCGAGAUUCUAACGGCGGUGGGCCCGCCGUAUAUUUUGUUUCUCUUUGUUUUCUAAAAGAUCGCAAUAACAUUUAUGGCAGAGAGCGUGUGACUAAGAUUAAAGGUUACUCACUCAAUUAAUUAAUUAUGGUAUUCUUUGUUUUUUAUUUAGCGACAGCUACAUAUGUCUGCAGACCAUGGAUAAUGGAUUGGGUUUUCUCGGACCACAUAAUCUGCUGGAUCUACAUCCCUAAUGGAUCUUUUUUUUUUUUUUUGCCAUCUAGUGAUAUUAAUAAAGGGACUAAAGCCCAAAAUACAGGAGACAUAAAGCCCAAACAUGGGAUCCAAAAACAAACAUCCAACCAAUGACUAAACCCUAAAGGCCCAACAUUGGCCCAUAUUACAAGCAGACCCAAGACUAGCCCAGGACAAAACCCUUCCGGGUAAAAACGCAGCACAAAAACACGUGAUGAACACGCGUCGAAACUGAAGUGAGUACAGAACACGUGUUGAAACCUCACCAAGCGAGUUACACGCGUCGCGCAGACACCGCGUCUUCACCGCUAAGAGUCACCACCGGAGACCGCCGAACGGCGCUUCACCGGGAUACCGAAACACACGCCGGUCAACAACCGACGUCUCACCGAAAACACCAAAUCCACCGGAGUCAACUCGGAAACACGAGCCUCCACAGUCUUUAUCGACUUCAAACUUCACCACCGACCGAGCAAUUAACCACCGGAAUCCACCGGGAACUCAACUACAGCCAUCGAAAAGCCACUUCCAACAACUAUAUUGAAAGUUAUAGGCUUCAUCAUCUACAACCCAUACCAUGAGCUUUGGAAAGAAUCAAUCGAUUAGAAUCGAGAUCCCACCAAACCCAUAAACUUUGUUUUGAAACCAAACCCUUCAAUCAAGAUCAAUCCUCAAAAACGAAACCAACUGUUUGUCUGGAGAGGAGAUCAAUCGAUGAAAGGGGUAGAGAAAGCGCCAACCAGCAGAGUAAACUGCCAAACAUACACCAAAGCUGGAUGAUUCCGUCAAGAAGAUCGCGAACCACCAGGAUCAAAGCUAGCUACACCGCGUCAUGGAGACCACCGUGUACCAGAGUCGAUGUCUCAAGCCAAGAAGGAAGAAGAAUUAAAGGGACCACCACGACUUUCUCUUUCUCUCACAAGAAACUUAAGAGAGAAGGGAGAGAGUCUACCAUCCC
rnacentral:lncRNA from 1 species